rnacentral:rRNA from 1 species
AUUGAACGCUGGCGGCAGGCCUAACACAUGCAAGUCGAGCGGAUGAAGGGAGCUUGCUCCUGGAUUCAGCGGCGGACGGGUGAGUAAUGCCUAGGAAUCUGCCUGGUAGUGGGGGAUAACGUCCGGAAACGGGCGCUAAUACCGCAUACGUCCUGAGGGAGAAAGAGGGGGAUCUUCGGACCUCACGCUAUUAGAUGAGCCUAGGUCGGAUUAGCUAGUUGGUGGGGUAAAGGCCUACCAAGGCGACGAUCCGUAACUGGUCUGAGAGGAUGAUCAAUCACACUGGAACUGAGACACGGUCCAGACUCCUACGGGAGGCAGCAGUGGGGAAUAUUGGGCAAUGGGCGAAAGCCUGAUCCAGCCAUGCCGCGUGUGUGAAGAAGGUCUUCGGAUUGUAAAGCACUUUUAGUUGGGAGGAAGGGCAGUAAGUUAAUACCUUGCUGUUUUGACGUUACCAACAGAAUAAGCACCGGCUAACUUCGUG